UAACCUGCCCAAGAGAUCGGGAUAACACCUGGAAACAGAUGCUAAUACCGGAUAACAACAGAUGAUGCCUAUCAACUGUUUAAAAGAUGGUUCUGCUAUCACUCUUGGAUGGACCUGCGGUGCAUUAGCUAGUUGGUAGGGUAACGGCCUACCAAGGCGAUGAUGCAUAGCCGAGUUGAGAGACUGAUCGGCCACAUUGGGACUGAGACACGGCCCAAACUCCUACGGAAGGCAGCAGGC
rnacentral:rRNA from 1 species